AACGAACGCUGGCGGCAUGCCUAAUACAUGCAAGUCGAACGAGAAAGUUCUUCGGAACGAGUAGAGUGGCGCACGGGUGAGUAACACGUAGGUGACCUACCCUUUAGUGGGGGACAACCAGGGGAAACUCUGGCUAAUACCGCAUAAUCUUAAAAACCUUGGAUAGUUUUAAGGAAAGAUUUAUCGCUGAAGGAAGGGCCUGCGGGGCAUUAGCUUGAUGGUGGGGUAACGGCCUACCAUGGCAAUGAUGUCUAGCCGGUCUGAGAGGAUGAUCGGCCACACUGGAACUGAGACACGGUCCAG
rnacentral:rRNA from 1 species